UACGUAGGGUGCAAGCGUUAUCCGGAAUUAUUGGGCGUAAAGAGCUCGUAGGCGGUUUGUCGCGUCUGCUGUGAAAACUGGAGGCUCAACCUCCAGCCUGCAGUGGAUACGGGCAGACUGGAGUACUGCAGGGGAGACUGGAAUUCCUGGUGUAGCGGUGGAAUGCGCAGAUAUCAGGAGGAACACCGGUGGCGAAGGCGGGUCUCUGGGCAGUAACUGACGCUGGAGGAGCGAAAAGCCGUGGGGAGCGAACAGG
rnacentral:rRNA from 1 species